CAAUUCCCCGUUUAGUUCGUCUGAUUAGAACCAAAAAGGGGAGGGGGUGUAUUCAUUCGUUGGACUCCGUUAAAAACAAAAAAACGUUUUGCAUCAACAACAACAACAACAACAAACAGUUUUAGUUCGUUUUAGUUUUAUGCUUUUCCACGCGAUGCCAUUCCAAUCUGAAUAGUCUGUGAAAUGGUUAGGGGGGGAGGCAGGUAGCCUAGUGGUUAGAGUGGAGGGACGGCAGGUAGCCUAGUGGUUAGAGUGGAGGGACGGCAGGUAGCCUAGUGGUUAGAGUGGAGGGGCGGCAGGUAGCCUAGUGGUUAAAGUGGAGGGAUGGCAGGUAGCCUAGUGGUUAGAGUGGAGGGGCGGCAGGUAGCCUAGUGGUUAGAGUGGAGGGAUGGCAGGUAGCCUAGUGGUUAGAGUGGAGGGGCGGCAGGUAGCCUAGUGGUUAGAGUGGAGGGAUGGCAGGUAGCCUAGUGGUUAGAGUGGAGGGAUGGCAG
rnacentral:lncRNA from 1 species